rnacentral:siRNA from 1 species
GGGACAGCCUAGGCGGAUCCAUGC